rnacentral:lncRNA from 1 species
GGGUGGGGGUGGAGAGCAGAAAAGCCAUUGCAAAGAAAGGGAUGUGUGAGCUGGAUUUUGUAGGUUUAAUGAAAAUUUUCAAUUGCCUAUGUCAAAAAGACAUUCCAAGCAUAAGGUAAGUCUCAGGGGCAAUUUCUGUGGAGGAACAGAGAUUAUUCCAUUUUGUCAAAGUAUUUCUAAAUUGUCUGAAGAUUCUGAGGCUAGGGUCAGAUCUGAGAAAGA